rnacentral:rRNA from 1 species
AGUGAACGCUGGCGGUAGGCCUAACACACGCAAGUCGAACGGCAGCACAGUAAGAGCUUGCUCUUACGGGUGGCGAGUGGCGGACGGGUGAGGAAUACAUCGGAAUCUACUUUUUCGUGGGGGAUAACGUAGGGAAACUUACGCUAAUACCGCAUACGACCUACGGGUGAAAGCAGGGGAUCUUCGGACCUUGUGCGAUUGAAUGAGCCGAUGUCGGAUUAGCUAGUUGGCGGGGUAAAGGCCCACCAAGGCGACGAUCCGUAGCUGGUCUGAGAGGAUGAUCAGCCACACUGGAACUGAGACACGGUCCAGACUCCUACGGGAGGCAGCAGUGGGGAAUAUUGGACAAUGGGCGCAAGCCUGAUCCAGCCAUACCGCGUGGGUGAAGAAGGCCUUCGGGUUGUAAAGCCCUUUUGUUGGGAAAGAAAAGCAGCAGGUUAAUACCCCGCUGUUCUGACGGUACCCAAAGAAUAAGCACCGGCUAACUUCGUG